UUUGUAGGUGUGGUUGACAGAGCAGUUGGUGGCAGGCGCUAGGAGCGACGACGGCUAGGGUUUUUUUUGUCUUUUUUCUUUUCUGAAAACUUAGUUUAGGUUGUGGGCCACUGGGCCAUUUGGUUUUUUUAUUUUAUUUUGGGCUAUUUGUAAUUGAACUUUAUUUUUUUUGUUUUAUUAUUAGGCCUGGGCAAAAUUCGGCUCUCAUAGCUGCCCCUCUUUACUCGUUGUCGUGUAAUGAGAAUGGAGCAAAGACUUUUAAGGAAGACAAAUUUCGUCUGGUCUCACCGAAUCUUGAUCUCUUUAGUGCUCAUCUUUUUCAAGUAGCUUUAUACUAACCC
rnacentral:lncRNA from 1 species